rfam:Xanthomonas oryzae pv. oryzae KACC10331, complete genome.
ACGUACAAAGCGCGAGGUUUUCUGUGCGCUGUCUACGCCCACCUGAUGACUGGUCGCUACGUGUUGUCAGCC